rnacentral:rRNA from 1 species
UUAAGUCCCGCAACGAGCGCAACCCUCGACCUUAGUUGCCAGCAUUCAGUUGGGCACUCUAAGGUGACUGCCGGCUAAAAGUCGGAGGAAGGUGGGGAUGACGUCAAAUCAUCAUGCCCCUUAUGACCUGGGCUACACACGUGCUACAAUGGGCGGUACAAAGGGUCGCGAACCCGCGAGGGGGAGCCAAUCCCAAAAAGCCGCUCUCAGUUCGGAUUGCAGGCUGCAACUCGCCUGCAUGAAGCCGGAAUCGCUAGUAAUCGCGGAUCAGCAUGCCCGCGGUCGAAUACGUUCCGGCCUU